UACGUAGGGGGCAAGCGUUGGUCCGGAUUUAUUGGGCGUAAAGAGCUACGUAGGCGGUUCGACAAGUCGGGUGUGAAAACUCCGGGCUCAACCCGGAGACGCCACCCGAUACUGUCGUGACUGGAGUCCGGUAGGGGAGUGGGGAAUUCCUGGUGUAGCGGUGAAAUGCGCAGAUAUCAGGAGGAACACCGGUGGCGACGGCGCCACUCUGGGCCGGUACUGACGCUGAGGAGCGAAAGCGUGGGUAGCAAACAGG
rnacentral:rRNA from 1 species